rnacentral:rRNA from 1 species
GUCCACGCCCUAAACGAUGCGAACUGGACGUUGGGAGCAACUAGGCUCUCAGUGUCGAAGCUAACGCGUUAAGUUCGCCGCCUGGGGAGUACGGUCGCAAGACUGAAACUCAAAGGAAUUGACGGGGGCCCGCACAAGCGGUGGAGUAUGUGGUUUAAUUCGAUGCAACGCGAAGAACCUUACCUGGUCUUGACAUCCACGGAAUCCUUCAGAGAUGAGGGAGUGCCUUCGGGAACCGUGAGACAGGUGCUGCAUGGCUGUCGU